AUUGAACGCUGGCGGCAUGCCUUACACAUGCAAGUCGAACGGUAACAGGGAGCUUGUUCCGCUGACGAGUGGCGAACGGGUGAGUAAUGCAUCGGAACGUGCCCAGUCGUGGGGGAUAACGCAGCGAAAGCUGCGCUAAUACCGCAUACGAUCUAUGGAUGAAAGCGGGGGACCGUAAGGCCUCGCGCGAUUGGAGGGGCCGAUGUCAGAGUAGGUAGUUGGUGGGGUAAAGGCUCACCAAGCCAACGAUCUGUAGCUGGUCUGAGAGGACGACCGGCCACACUGGGACUGAGACACGGCCCAGACUCCUACGGGAGGCAGCAGUGGGGAAUUUUGGACAAUGGGCGCAAGCCUGAUCCAGCAAUGCCGCGUGCAGGAAGAAGGCCUUCGGGUUGUAAACUGCUUUUGUACGGAACGAAACGGUCCUGGUUAAUACCUGGGGCUAAUGACGGUACCGUAAGAAUAAGCACCGGCUAACUACGUGCCAGCAGCCGCCGUAACAC
rnacentral:rRNA from 1 species